rnacentral:lncRNA from 1 species
UUGUCGUUUUUUCCGAUUCAACACUGUUGUCUGAGCCAGUCAUGCUUUCUGGAAUGGGCCCUUUUGAUCUUGUUUGAUAAUGGUACGGUGCCAUUACUCUCUAACAAACUACCUGGUACUAGAAUGAAAAAACAACAAACUUGUUAGCAUUAAAGUUUCAACAGAUAUUGCAAUUGCACGUUGGGGGAUGCAAUGUUCUUAGGCAAUAAACCAUUUCUAGCAUAUUUUUGCUUCGACCGCAUGCAUUGUCCCGGCUUAUUUUAUUUUCCUCUUUCAAGUGUUUCAGAAAACCUCUCUUUUUCUUCUUCUCUCUUUCUUUCAGGUUUCUCACACUUCUUUUCUCUUAUUCACUUUCUCUUUUUAUUUUUUAACGGUGAUUGAAUCUUAGGUGGAUUGCCUAGGUAUCAUGUCCCCGAUGAAUCAGACCAGGCGUAGUUCGUGUAAGUGCAAGGUAAAAAAACAAUAAAACAUAUUUUGAAAUUUUUAAUUUUUCACAGUAAAACACAAUUUGAUUACAAUGAUUAAAAAAAUUGGCAAACUUAGACCGAACUAAUAGACUUUGGUGAAAGAACUAACAGACUUGAACAUAAAAGAACCAACAUACUCUAACCAAAAAAAUACAAAUUUAAGAAUAGACUAACAAAUUCCUUCCCCUAUAUGCCAAGUUUAACCAAAUGACUAUUUUUUGCAAACAUGGCGCCUUCUCAAUUUCACAUGAAUUUUGAGGCCGGGAAGGAUUUUUUUACAAACUUGUCCGUUCUUUUACGAAAAUAGCCUUUCGACAACUGAAAGAUACUCUAAGGCUAUCUCGGCAAGAACGGUUUAAUACACUGCCGAAGCUGGCUCGGGUUAUUUUGACCAAAAAUUCAAACGACAUUCACUUGCCCACUGACUCUUUCCUUAUUUUUAAAAGUUACAAUAAAAUACUGGGUUUUGCAAACACGGACUUUCAUCACCUCGGGGAUGAAGAUUUUAAAGUUGCAUUAGCUAACAGGCCAAAAUCCUAAAACAAUGACUUUUGGCAAGAAUGGCUUAAGACAUUGCCAAAGCCGGCUUGGCUUAUUUUGACCAAAAAUUCAAACGACAUUCACUUGCCAACUGAUUUUUUUUUUCAAAUUAAAAUAAAAGGCCAGAUUUUGCAAAGACGGUCUUUCAGCACUUCGGGGACGAAGAUUUUAAGGAUGUGUGGGUCAACUGGCCAAAAUCUAAAAAAUGACCCCAAGAUGGAUGUUUAUGCAAAGUUAGCUUUCCGGCGUCCCUUUUGGGAACAUUCGGCUAUGUUUGGCAAAAGAUAGCGUCACCCGACUUCAUUAUGAUGAAAAUAAAAUUUUGACAAUUUUUGCUAUUUUUUGCAAAUGGGAGGUUGGACCCGAUGAGGGUUGACCACGUAUCUCACAUCCGAUGAGAAUCAAAUUAGCGUUGUUCGGGCAAAUUACACGAACUAUUUUUAAAACAAGACUCAUUUUCAUUUUCAUUUUUGGCAUUUCAUAAGCAAAUAACAAAACCACCUUCAAAGCAUGACUCUUUUCAUUUUAAUUUUGGACAUUUCAUAAAUAAAUAAAAUAAAUAAACUAUUUUUAAAAAAACAAGACUCUUUUUUUUCGUAUUCAUUUUUCUGGCAAGAUAAACUAUUUUUUUUUAAAACAAGAUAGAAUAAUGACUCUUUUUUUUCUUUUCAAAAACCAAUUUUCCAAAAAUAAAAAUAAAUUUUUUUUUCUAUUUUUCCUUUGCUUUUAAUAAAAAAACUAUUAAAAAUAAGGUAUUUUUUUCUCAAAAUUUCGGUAGAGUUCCGACUGUACUUGUACAUUGGUUUUUUUUAUCUAAAUUAAUCAUCUAACUCUCUAACUGUUAUUUUUCUCUUUUUCUCUUUUUCUAAAUUUUCCAAAAUUUUCUAACAUUCCCGUGAUUCAGAAGCCGGUCAACAUGCGGGCCCGAGACAAAUAAAUGCACGGAAAAUAAAUAAGAUGCAUCAGGAUGGUCUUUUCAUUUCAGGUUGCUAGUCCUACACGGACCCAACCCCUGUGUUGAGUCCCCUAAGUCAAAUGCAACCUGAUGCAAAUAAGUGUUCCUAUUAGGGAUCCGACAUGAAAUUUUGUUAUACUAGGUUUUAAACUUGGGUUUUUGUUCUAGACCUCGCUUACCCAAGCGGACAACUCGAGUCGAAGAGGGGGAAACUUUUCGGGAACCAAAAGGCCAUCCGGCUUAGUAACUUGUCCGAGCCUCUUUUUAUUUCAGGGUAUGACACUAACAGAAAAGGGAGUCUCAACCAGUAAGCACAUCCCCGAAGGUGAAAAGAGAAGGGUUCGGCAUAGUUUAUAUAUACAGUCAAUAAUAUCAAAGCGGUAACAAAAUAUCAUUUGCACAUUAAGCACAUAUCACAUGAAUAUAUCAGAUAAUAAAGAAAAAAUAUAAUAGUUUAUCAUAUGCUCGAAUUUCUACCCCUGAUCCAGUGGUCCUGGGUUGUUGUACCCAGCAGAGUUGCCAGAGCUGUCACACCUCCUUUUUCGCGCCGCGCAAGGGAGUUUUUUCCAAUUAAAGGACAAUCGAAACGAGAUUUAUUAUUAAGAUUCAGAGUCUCCACUUGAGAGAUUUGUGGUGUCCCAAGUCACCGGUUUUAAUCCCGAAUCGAGGAAAAGAAAGACUCUGUUUAACAAUCUGUGCACUAGAAAUCCAGAUAAGGAAUUCUGUUAAUCCGGGAGAAGGUGUCAUGCAUUUCCGAGUUCCGUGAUUCUAGCACGGUCGCUCAACUGUCAUAUUCGACUUAAUUAUCUGAUUUCAACAAUUAUGAACUUAUAUUCAAAUUUUAAAUUCUAACCGUCUAUUAUUGUUAUUAUUAUUUUGAAAGACUUGCAACGUCGUGACAAUACAUCUCGAACCACGUUACAAUCAAUGUACCCGUGGUUGUUGAUACAUAUCGACUCCGUUGAAAUUUUGAUUUAGGUCACAUAAAUGAACACCCGAGUUUAGGGAGGUAAUGUUAUUUAAAGUACGCGCCUAAUAGAGUGUAACACAUUGUAGUCUUUUGGGAAGGCCGUGAAAUUUACUAAACAGUCCUUCCCAAUUUUCUAAAUAUUUUUAAAACUCUAUCGAGGUCCCCGCAAUUUGUGCAUUUUUAUUUGGCGAGGCACGCUUCAUUUAUUUUAAAGGGUAAUCCUAGAGUGAUUACAUUUUUCUAUUUAACUUCGUCUCUAAAAAUAAAAGAGAAAAUUCCUAAUUAAUUACAUGCUUAAAAGGCUACUCUAUAUUAGUACAAAAGGUGUUCCCUCACAAGCCGACUAAACGACAAAUUUAUUCUACAAAUUAUAGAACUAACUGCAAUUUGACAAAAACUAAUAAAACAGAAAAUAACAACAAAUAUUAAUCAACAACUUACUUUUCUAUUUCAUUUCAACUUUCAACUUCCAAUUCGAGUUUACGUCAACACAUGAUUUUUAAAAUGUGUACCUGGUAUUGAAAAGACGAGGAAUAUGGAAAUCAAUAGGGCGGUAAAAGUAUAACAACAACAACAGUAACAACAAGCAGUAGCUUCAAGACCUCAAUCCAGAAAAUCCCACCAAUACAGAGAAAAGCUAGAAAAAUAGAGAAGAAAAAUAUUCCGGAAAUAUCUCUUUGUUUUCUCUUUCUAGCUUUGAACUCUCUUCAACUCUCAAAAGAAACUCUCAAAAAUCAAAUUCUGUCGUGUAUACUGCUGUGUCCAGAAUGUAUAUCGAGUGUAUACUGCUGAAACUCCAAAGACUAAAUUCUGUCCGUGUAUACUGCUGUAUCCAGAGUGUAUACUGCUCUCUUUUCUCCCUUAUUUUUCUUCUCCUCCUAUUUUUUCCUCUAUUCCCU